rnacentral:rRNA from 1 species
CCUACGGGGGGCAGCAGUGGGGAAUAUUGCACAAUGGGGGAAACCCUGAUGCAGCGACGCCGCGUGAGUGAAGAAGCGUUUCGGCGCGUAAAGCUCUGUCAGCGGGGAAGAAACACGGGUCGCGAGAGCCGCGGACGGUACCCGACCAAGAAGCCCCGGCUCACUACGUGCCAGCAGCCGCGGUAAUACGUCGGGGGCAAGCGUUAUCCGGAUUCACGGGGUGUAAGGGGAGCGGAGACGGCGAGACAAGUCUGGAGUGCAGGGCCGGGGCCCAACCCCGGGACUGCUCUGGAAACUGCCUGGCUGGAGUACAGGUGAGGUAAGUGGACUUCCUCGUGUAGCGGUUAAAUGCGUCGAUAUUAGGAGGAACACCAGUUGCGAAGGCGGCUUACUGGACUGUACCUGACGUUGAGGCUCGAAAGCGUGGGGAGCAAACAGGAUUAGAUACCCUGGUAGUC